CCCUUAGACGCUCUAGGCGGCACGCGCGCUACAAUGGGUGGUAGAACGUGUAACUGCUCCCGAAAGGGAGGGUGAACCACGAAUACUUACCCGUGAAUGGGAUAGUUUGUUACAAUUUUCGGACUUGAACUAGGAAUCCCUUGUAAGAAUGCUCAAGAAUAGCGUGCUGAAUACGUCCCUGCCGUUUGUACGCACCGCCCGUCGUUUCUUCCGACUGAUACUCAUUGUGAGUUGCAAGGAUUCUUAUUGAAAAAUUGCUGCGAAUGCUUUGUAUUGGAGGAAGAAAAAGUCGUAACA
rnacentral:rRNA from 1 species